rnacentral:tRNA from 1 species
UCCCUGGUGGUCCAGGGAAGACUUUGCACUUCCAAUGCAUGGGGCACAGGUUUGAUCCCUGGUUGGGGGA